rnacentral:rRNA from 1 species
CCUACGGGCGGCUGCAGUGGGGAAUAUUGGACAAUGGGGGGAACCCUGAUCCAGCCAUGCCGCGUGUGUGAAGAAGGCCCUCGGGUUGUAAAGCACUUUCAGUGAGGAAGAACGCCUGGUGGUUAAUACCCAUCAGGAAAGACAUCACUCACAGAAGAAGCACCGGCUAACUCCGUGCCAGCAGCCGCGGUAAUACGGAGGGUGCGAGCGUUAAUCGGAAUUACUGGGCGUAAAGCGCGCGUAGGUGGCUUGAUAAGCCGGUUGUGAAAGCCCCGGGCUCAACCUGGGAACGGCAUCCGGAACUGUCAAGCUAGAGUGCAGGAGAGGAAGGUAGAAUUCCCGGUGUAGCGGUGAAAUGCGUAGAGAUCGGGAGGAAUACCAGUGGCGAAGGCGGCCUUCUGGAUUGACACUGACACUGAGGUGCGAAAGCGUGGGUAGCAAACAGGAUUAGAUACCCCAGUAGUC